rnacentral:rRNA from 1 species
GAUGAACGCUGGCGGCGUGCCUAAUACAUGCAAGUCGAGCGAACGGACGAGAAGCUUGCUUCUCUGCUGUUAGCGACGGACGGGUGAGUACCACGUGGCUAACCUACCUAUAAGACUGGGAUCACUUCGGGAAACCGGAGCUAAUACCGGAUAAUAUUUUGAACCGCAUGGUUCAUCAGUGAAAGACCGUCUUGCUGUCACUUAUAGAUGUAUCCGCGCUGCAUUAGCUAGUUGGUAAGGUAACGGCUUACCAAGGCAACGAUGCGUAGCCGACCUGAGAGGGUGAUCGGCCACACUGGAACUGAGACACGGUCCAGACUCCUACGGGAGGCAGCAGUAGGGAAUCUUCCGCAAUGGGCGAAAGCCUGACGGAGCAACGCCGCGUGAGUGAUGAAGGUCUUCGGAUCGUAAAGCUCUGUUAUUAGGGAAGAACAUAUGUGUAAGUAAAUGUGGACAUCUUGACGGUACCUAAACAGAAAGCAACGGCUAACUACGUG